rnacentral:lncRNA from 1 species
UGGCGUACUUUUAGGUUUAUUUUUAUACACUCGUUGUAGAAUAUGUUAUUCUAUUAGUAGUAGUUGAUUAUGAAACAUUUUACAAAUUUGGUAGUAAUUAUGAAAAUUUCCCUUAAAAGACAAUAGUGGGAGGCCCAAAUAAGGUAACAGAUCUUGGCCCGUAUAGGCGAUGGUUUGUAAGCCCCCAAAGAAGGAAUGAGGGCUUCCAAAAAUUGGCGGGCAAGCCCACCAAAGUAGGGCGGGCCUACUCGCCUUAAUGAAGUGUGUUCGUUUCGUGGGUGUCGGCACGAUCCGCCGGUCUCUAUACGAUCAUUAGCGAAUCGCCUCAGCACCCCCGACA